ACCCAGCUGAUGAGUCUCAAAUGUGAUGAAACGUGCGUCCUGGAU
rfam:Schistosoma mattheei strain Denwood, Zambia genome assembly, scaffold: SMTD_scaffold0000747